UUCUUGGUCAUUUAGAGGAAGUAAAAGUCGUAACAAGGUCUCCGUUGGUGAACCAGCGGAGGGAUCAUUACCGAGUUUACAACUCCCAAACCCCUGUGAACAUACCACUUGUUGCCUCGGCGGAUCAGCCCGCUCCCGGUAAAACGGGACGGCCCGCCAGAGGACCCCUAAACUCUGUUUCUAUAUGUAACUUCUGAGUAAAACCAUAAAUAAAUCAAAACUUUCAACAACGGAUCUCUUGGUUCUGGCAUCGAUGAAGAACGCAGCAAAAUGCGAUAAGUAAUGUGAAUUGCAGAAUUCAGUGAAUCAUCGAAUCUUUGAACGCACAUUGCGCCCGCCAGUAUUCUGGCGGGCAUGCCUGUUCGAGCGUCAUUUCAACCCUCAAGCCCUCGGGUUUGGUGUUGGGGAUCGGCGAGCCCUUGCGGCAAGCCGGCCCCGAAAUCUAGUGGCGGUCUCGCUGCAGCCUCCAUUGCGUAGUAGUAAAACCCUCGCAACUGGAACGCGGCGCGGCCAAGCCGUUAAACCCCCAACUUCUGAAUGUUGACCUCGGAUCAGGUAGGAAUACCCGCUGAACUUAAGCAUAUCAAUAAGCGGAGG
rnacentral:rRNA from 1 species